CUCGCUUACUCCUGUGCGCGUGUGUGAGUGGCCGCGCAAGCGCAGACGCGUCCCUGCGCCUAGAGAAAGCGGGUGAGCCAAAGGCACAUGCGCAGAAGCUCUAAUGUUGCUUUUCCCCCAACGGGUGAGAGAAAACCGAGCUUACUGCGCAGGCGCCUUUACUCUUCUCCCCACCUUCAUCAUAGAAAAGAACGUAAGGAUGUAGCUCCCUCCUCCCUAUCAGGUAGCGAAAGAAUUCUCUUGCGCAAGCGCAUACGCUCUCUGUGCAUGGGACGUACAGAGGAUAACCGCCCACGGAGGGGCUACGGAUAGCAAGAGAGGGAUGACAAAGCGCAGGCGCAGAAAUACCCUCCUCUAUAGGCACAGGUUUUAAAAGAUGGGCAACAACUUAAACGCAGGGGCGGAUGUGUCGGCUUUAAUCCCGCCUCCUCUUCGGAUGCUGCUUGGUCGCCAUGGAUGGUUGUGGUGAGGAUGAGGAAAUGAGAAGUGUGCAUGCUACCAUGAGCUCCUUGGAGGAAAGGGAACUUGUCGCAAAACUGAGAGCCCACCGUGAUUUUUACAGCAGUUUGCUAGAAUACAGCUGAAGCCACAGCUACACCGCAUAGAGCAAUAGCCUUUGCUGGAAUGACCAAGAAGUUGUAGAAAGAGGAAAUGAGCCCAUUUCUUCCCCUUCUUUCUUCUCUAGCAUUGCUGCAUUUUUUUAUUAAAGCUGCAAUACUGUAUUAAUGAAAGAACUAAGCAAUUCUGGUAAAAUGGCCAGAUUAAAAAUCAACAAAUCCAAAUCGGAAUUUAAUCUAUAUGGGUAUUAUUCCAUCUGAACAGUCAAUCAUUCAAAAACAGAUGAGCUGUAAAAUCUGCCGCAAGGUAAUAAAAUAUUUGGGAGUGCAAAAAUCUUAUCAGC